rnacentral:rRNA from 1 species
UCUGUGAACUCCUACGGGAGGCAGCAGUGGGGAAUUUUGGACAAUGGGGGCAACCCUGAUCCAGCAAUGCCGCGUGAGUGAAGAAGGCCCUCGGGUUGUAAAGCUCUUUUGUGCGGGAAGAUAAUGACGGUACCGCAAGAAUAGGCCCCGGCUAACUUCGUGCCAGCAGCCGCGGUAAUACGAAGGGGGCUAGCGUUGCUCGGAAUCACUGGGCGUAAAGGGUGCGUAGGCGGGUCUUUAAGUCAGGGGUGAAGUCCUGGAGCUCAACUCCAGAACUGCCUUUGAUACUGAGGAUCUUGAGUUCGGGAGAGGUGAGUGGAACUGCGAGUGUAGAGGUGAAAUUCGUAGAUAUUCGCAAGAACACCAGUGGCGAAGGCGGCUCACUGGCCCGAAACUGACGCUGAGGCACGAAAGCGUGGGGAGCAAACAGGAUUAGAUACCCUAGUAGUCCAUCAGCG